rnacentral:rRNA from 1 species
AGUCGAACGAACUCGACCUUCGGGUCAUAUAGUGAGUGGCGAACGGGUGAGUAACACGUGAGAAACCUGCCCCGAAGACUGGAACAACCCGAGGAAACUCGGGCUAAUACCGGAUACCCCCAUCGGAUCGCAUGAUCUGAUGAGGAAAUGCUCCGGCGCUUCGGGAGGGUCUCGCGGCCUAUCAGCUAGUUGGUGAGGUAAUGGCUCACCAAGGCAACGACGGGUAGCUGGUCUGAGAGGACGAUCAGCCACACUGGGACUGAGACACGGCCCAGACUCCUACGGGAGGCAGCAGUGGGGAAUAUUGCGCAAUGGGCGAAAGCCUGACGCAGCCACGCCGCGUGCGGGAUGAAGGCUCUAGGGUUGUAAACCGCUUUAGGCAGGGAAGAAAAUGACGGUACCUGCAGAAUAAGGUCCGGCCAACUACGUGCCAGCAGCCGCGGUAACACGUAGGGACCGAGCGUUGUCCGGAUUUAUUGGGCGUAAAGAGCUCGUAGGCGGUUCGGUAAGUCAGGUGUGAAAGCUCGAGGCUCAACCUCGAGAUGCCACCUGAUACUGCUGUGACUUGAGUCCGGUAGAGGAGUGUGGAAUUCCUGGUGUAGCGGUGAAAUGCGCAGAUAUCAGGAGGAACACCAAUUGCGAAGGCAGCACUCUGGGCCGGUACUGACGCUGAGGAGCGAAAGCGUGGGGAGCGAACAGGAUUAGAUACCCUGGUAGUCCACGCCGUAAACGUUGGGCACUAGGUGUGGGAUCGAACUAACCGAUUCCGUGCCGUAGCUA